rnacentral:rRNA from 1 species
UACGUAGGUGGCAAGCGUUGUCCGGAUUUACUGGGUGUAAAGGGCGCGUAGGCGGGAGAUCAAGUCAGAUGUGAAAUGUCGGGGCUCAACCCCGGAACUGCAUUUGAAACUGAACUUCUUGAGUAUCGGAGAGGCAGGCGGAAUUCCUAGUGUAGCGGUGAAAUGCGUAGAUAUUAGGAGGAACACCAGUGGCGAAGGCGGCCUGCUGGACGACAACUGACGCUGAGGCGCGAAAGCGUGGGGAG